rnacentral:rRNA from 1 species
AUUGAACGCUGGCGGCAUGCCUUACACAUGCAAGUCGAACGGUAACGCGGGGCAACCUGGCGACGAGUGGCGAACGGGUGAGUAAUGCAUCGGAACGUGCCCGGUAGUGGGGGAUAACUGCUCGAAAGAGCAGCUAAUACCGCAUACGACCUGAGGGUGAAAGGGGGGGAUCGCAAGACCUCUCGCUAUCGGAGCGGCCGAUGUCGGAUUAGCUAGUUGGUGGGGUAAAGGCCCACCAAGGCAACGAUCCGUAGCUGGUCUGAGAGGACGACCAGCCACACUGGGACUGAGACACGGCCCAGACUCCUACGGGAGGCAGCAGUGGGGAAUUUUGGACAAUGGACGCAAGUCUGAUCCAGCCAUGCCGCGUGCGGGAAGAAGGCCUUCGGGUUGUAAACCGCUUUUGUCAGGGAAGAAAUCUUCUGGGUUAAUACCUCGGGAGGAUGACGGUACCUGAAGAAUAAGCACCGGCUAACUACGUGCCAGCCGCCGCGGUAA